rnacentral:rRNA from 1 species
AGAGUUUGAUCAUGGCUCAGAUUGAACGCUGGCGGCAGGCCUAACACAUGCAAGUCGAGCGGUAGAGAGGUGCUUGCACCUCUUGAGAGCGGCGGACGGGUGAGUAAAGCCUAGGAAUCUGCCUGGUAGUGGGGGAUAACGCUCGGAAACGGACGCUAAUACCGCAUACGUCCUACGGGAGAAAGCAGGGGACCUUCGGGCCUUGCGCUAUCAGAUGAGCCUAGGUCGGAUUAGCUAGUUGGUGAGGUAAUGGCUCACCAAGGCGACGAUCCGUAACUGGUCUGAGAGGAUGAUCAGUCACACUGGAACUGAGACACGGUCCAGACUCCUACGGGAGGCAGCAGUGGGGAAUAUUGGACAAUGGGCGAAAGCCUGAUCCAGCCAUGCCGCGUGUGUGAAGAACGUCUUCGGAUUGUAAAGCACUUUAAGUUGGGAGGAAGGGCAUUAACCUAGUACGUUAGUGUUUUGACGUUACCGACAGAAUAAGCACCGGCUAACUCUGUGCCAGCAGCCGCGGUAAUACAGAGGGUGCAAGCGUUAAUCGGAAUUACUGGGCGUAAAGCGCGCGUA